rnacentral:rRNA from 1 species
UACGAAGGGUGCAAGCGUUACUCGGAAUUACUGGGCGUAAAGCGUGCGUAGGUGGUGAGUUAAGUCUGAUGUGAAAUCCCCGGGCUCAACCUGGGAAUGGCAUUGGAUACUGGCUCGCUAGAGUGCGGUAGAGGGUGGUGGAAUUCCCGGUGUAGCAGUGAAAUGCGUAGAUAUCGGGAGGAACACCAGUGGCGAAGGCGGCCUUCUGGACCAGUACUGACGCUCAUGCACGAAAGCGUGGGGAGCAAACAGG